AGUUCACCACCAAGAAGAUCAGCUGGAGAGGAUCGGAGGAACAUCGUUGGGAUCCACAGAUGGGAUGGGGAAGAGGAUGAAGAAUUUUCUGCACAGACUCAGGUGUGGGUGGGAUGCAAAUGAAGCCAGGUGACUAAUCCUUGUAGCUGUGCUCAGACUCCAGCUGCAGACCACCACUGUAGAGACCCAUGACGGCUGCACUUACUUGAUCAUGGGUGGCACAUAAAUCAUUAUGUGAUACCUCUCCACCACCAGAGUUCUGCACACUGAUGACAUCAGUUGGCCUUGCUCUUCCCCCCCUAUAAUCACCUUCUCCUCCCAACCUGCCUGGUUAGUUUCAAGCAGUCAAGAUGACCAAGAGAGAAGAACCUGAAUGUGCAAAUAUACUUUUACAAGAAAAUAGUAUGAUUAUGUUGUGGGAACAAUUAAUGCUGGGAAACAGCAGAAUUUUCUCUACAUCCUCUGGACUACAACUCCAUCAUACUGCUCUGCAUGGGCUACUUUGUGUGUAACUUAUUGCAGUAAGAAUACAAAAGCAAAGGGUUCAGUUCAGGCAAAUGAGUUACUGACUGCAGUGCAAAGAAUGUACAUGUACUUAGUGGUUUUCCAAGGGCCUUGAUGCAGCUGGAGGUGCUCUUGGCAAAGGUAUCUCUCCUUCACAAUUGCUAAGAGUCGCAUCCAGAGGCUGAGAGGUUUGGGCCCCCUUGCAAUCCCCUGACUGAUAUCCACAUCAUGUAACUCAGGUCCCAGGUGCCUCACUUCAGUACCAUCCGAAACUGUAGUAUCACCUGCAGUAUGCCAGGCUUGGAUCAGCCAGCUCAGUAUAGACUUGCCUUUUCAUUAGAUGAGGUCUUUCUGCAGAUUGUAUAGACUUUCUAAGGAUAGGGGUUUGGUAAUUAUUUCUUGAUCUGAUUCCUGUGCUGGCUGUGAGUGUUCUGCCUCCCUGACGUCAUCCACCAGAUGAAUCCAUUUGGUCUUGGAUUUCCUCAUGUGAACAGGAGCAACUACUACGGGCUUAGGUUGCCCUUCUAGUUUAACUGCAGUCUGAGUGACCGGGGGUUCUGUUGAUUUGCUCCCCUUCCCCUCCAUCUGUAGGCCCUGCUGUGCAGUAAUGAACACUAUGCAAUAAGYCUUAUCCAGGGCCCAACACAGUGCAAUAAGAUGUCCCUCUUUGGAACUGCACUGUAAUUUUCCUUCAAGUGUUCUCCUACCUUUGCUGGGUCCUGUGUUUGUUCAAGGGGAAAUUCACUGAACUAGAGCAUUUCUUAAAAAUCUCUCCUAUAUCCUCCCACAUUCCAUGCCACUCAGGAUUUUUCACCCCUGGGAUAGUUCUGGGAAAACUCCCUGGAAAUCCCAGCCUGAUUCUAAACAUGUUGUAGACUGUACAGUGGAGACAUAGCAGAAUUAGCAACAAGAAUAUGAUGUUUUUAACAUCCAGAGGGAAUUUGACGUUCUCAAAAAGUGAUGUGCUAGACCUGAAGGGGUAGAAGGAGUUGAAAAGCUGGGAAGUAUCAUCUGAUCGUGCUCCCCCAACAGGCUGGGUGAGAUUAUUAUUAAUGAGCCUCCAGAAGUAGGAGCUCCGACCAGGACAGGCAAACAACAAUGAAUACGUUUGAAAUUAUCUUUAUUAUCUUUGAUAUUAUCUUUCCAUAAACUGAUAUCACAGAGUGUAUAAAAACAAUUGUUUGUAUUCCUGAUCUGAAAAAAAACACAUGUGCAUGAAUGAAUGACUGCUAUUUCAUUCUAGCCUGUGAUACAUCAGUGUUGAAUGGGGUUUUUUAUUCUGUCUCAGGGCACAAUAAAGCAAGGCAAGUGUUAAAAAUGACAGAACUGGAAGACAUGAAAAUACAUGAGUAAGAGCAGGAAUGAUUUGGGCUUCUUUUCCUCUAAGAGGAGAGAGAGAAUAUAGCAGGCUAAAAAAGAAAACAAAGACCGCAAAACUGAAAAUAACCCCCCUAAUCCAAACCAAAGCAAAGUAUACCAGAAAGUCUCAAUGUUUUUAUUUACAUUCAGAAAAAUCUUGAUAAUGCAUCCCUUGAGGUGCACCAAACCUGUCACUUUAGUGUGUUCAAUGGUUUGCUGCAAGCAUGGGGUCUGCAAGCUGUGCUGGAUCCCAGCCAGUCAACUCCAUGGCCCCAUGAGGGAACCAAUCAAAUAAUGCUGUUGAUUAGAAACCAAGUUGUGAAAGACUAGUUGACAGCAUGGCCUUCUCCCUGCUUGCUGUGGGAUUAAAGACCUUAUAGACAGAGGAGCUCUGGACUUCACAGAAGUAUUUUUUUCCUGCAGAGAGAGCAUUCACAGCAAAGCUCUGCUUCUAUGUUUGAUUUCUACCUUUUAGAAGAAACAUUUUUCCUCCCACAUCUCAUUAACUAGAGGUGCAGUGCCACUACUCGGCACAAUGACAAAGAAUACUGACAUCUGAAUGUUCUUAUAUGUCUUUGAUCAGAAAGACUCAGCAAGCAGGAAGGAGAAAUUGUACCCAUACCUUGUUUCCUACCACAAAGAAUCGGGAUGCAGGAAGGAGAAAUGAAGUUUUCUAUGCUUAUUUUAUUACAAGGACUUUGCUCUUCUAGAUAGCAAAAUUAACAAUAGCAAAGCAUAUGUAGAAGCUAAAUGUGAGAUUUUCCUAUGUGGUGUUGGACCAGGGAAACUAUUUAAAUGUACUGGAAGCUUACUGGUCAGACCCAGCUGUGAUCCUUCUCUAUUCCCAAAUGCACAGUGCAGCAGCAGGCUCUUCUCCCUGCUUUCAUGAACCAUGUGCCCCAGGUACUCAUCAUCUCAAAGGUACUGGGAUAACCCCACACCAAGUUCUGGGGUGUCUAGGACAAGACACAGGAGUCCACAUGAAGUAUCAAAAGUGUCAAAUAAGGAAGGAGCUUUUUUUUUCUUAAAUAGGUUGUUUUUUUUUUUUUAAUUUGCUUUUUACUGCUUUUUUAAAUUUUUUUUUAACUGAGUGCUGCUUUUUACUCCUGCUUUUUAAUUGCAUAUUGGCUAGUCUUGCCAAAACACCCAACAGCAGCAAAAAGGGGCAGAAAGAAGGAGAGGUCCCAGCACCCUCUGGUCUCCUAUACAGAGGUGAUGGAAGGAAUCUAUUGGACUGUAGGUCCUUAGGGCCUGGAGGUGAGAUUUUAGUCUGAUAACAGGAAGGCCUGUGGGCGAUUGCUGUCCCCUGUUUGUUCUUGCCUCAGCUACUGCAUGGGUGGUUGGAGAUGAAGGUAGGUCCGCCCUGACAUUGCACAAAAUAAUUGUUGCAGGGCAGUUGUGACUCAGUCAAGGCAGGACUGAUUGGAUAUUAGCUAUGGCUCUUGAGGGGAGUGAUUGGGCUAAAGGUUGCGUAGGUAAAUCUCCCCCAUCAGCUGAUUCCCAUGUAACUUGAGCUGUGUAAAUGUUUGUCUUGGUUCACAUGGAAGGUGUAACCGAAAGUAUGUAUUCUAUUGCCAGCUCCAUAAGCUGUUAAGAUAAGAUGGGUCAGUUUUCUUUAUCCUCUCUGACUCAGUCCUGAUAAAACCCUCUGGGGAAGCAACAGAUAUUCUGUGCUGGGUCAUCUCUGCUAAUGGGCCAUCAAGGUCUCAUGGAAUGACUCAAAGAAUUACACAUCCCAUUGUGAGAUGCCCUGCCCAGAGGGGAUUUACUGAACAUUCCCACCUGUAUGUAAACUGAUGCUUGGAACACUGUGGGGCACUACUUCCAGUGGAUUCCCAGAAGAGAAGACCAUCAUUGGACCUCCAGAGACAGAUCAGAUCUUUCUUCAGAAUCACCACUUCGACAAGACCAUAUCCAUCACCCCAACAGGACUGCAGCCACCAUCUAACUGGACUGCUACCACCACCAUGACCAACAGAGUGGCAGGUUGCAUUCUGACUUCUUCACUUUAAGCUGGUGUUUCUGUAUUAUUACCUUCAUUUUAAAUGUUUCCUAUUCAACUGUAGUUCUAACUUGAAAUCUCUCACACCAUAUUUGUCUGGGGUUAAUUCCUCCACAGGUUUGCUAUCAAACUAGAACAAAGUUAUUGAGAACUGUGAUGGAGGAAAGGAGGUGUUUUUCUUUCCUCUAAAGUAAGUAAAUGACAGUCUGCAAACAGAAAUCAUGCUAUUGUUGAAAGAAGGAAAAUGGAACUGUUAUACAGGUGUUUCUGGUGAGGGUUUGAUGUGCCUGUGCUGCCAUGGUGCCAGCCGAUUCCAGUGUACCCCUUUCUAACCUGUAUCACUCCAGUCCCUUGCUUUCCUCGCAUGUUGGGAUAUGAAAGGCAAUACAGGCUUUAGAAGUGUCCACUGGUGACCUGGGAAAAGUGCCAUCUCUCUGCUGUUUCCUAGUUUCCUUUCAACCUUUGGCUCAUGCUGUUUUCAUGUAGGCCACCAUGCAGACCAAAUAUUUAGAGGAUUGUCUUUUCUUUGAGUUACAUUUUUACUAUCUUUUAGGAGAGAGAGAGAGAGAGAGAGAGAGAGAGAGAGAGGAAGAGAGAGAAAGACAAGAUAUAGCUGGGGAGCUCUAUUAUUUUCAUUUAAUGAAAAUCAUUGUGAAUUAUGGAGAUCUUGGGAUAUCUCUUCCAUAUUCCUACCAUACUUGUUACCUCGAUGCCACAGUGACCAGGCUAAAAUAGGAGACUGAUUGAAUCCUUAAUGUGCAGAUGGAAGCUUGUGUCCAGUACAUUUCCUGGGCCUGAGUUGAUAGGCAAGCUAUCUUUUCUGGAAAAUAUUCUGAUAUGACCACUUUUGUGAAUGCUUAACCUGGUGCUUCUAUGACUUUCUCCAAGAGGUUAACUCAAGGACAUGUCUGAACUUAUCAGUUUGAUAUAGUGGGUAGAUUAUAGGGGUAUAAUAAUUCUUUUUUUCAUUAUC